CCUCUCUGCUCUGCCUGUUCAUCCUUCACACCUCAACCCCCCAAUUCUCUACUGUCUCCAUGGUUUUGCCUUUUCCAGAAUGUCUAAUCCCGGGCAGGCCUAUGACUAACACGGAGCUUCGCUUCCCCUGAGUCCCCCCAGAGGCGCCCCGCCGCCCUGCACUGAGAACACUGUUUCUGGGGAAGCAGAACGAUGGCCUGAGAUACCUAACAUCCAGCACCCACAACGGUCACCUUCCAGGCCAAGAGAAACUGCAGGGAGGCAGGGCCAUCUGAGUCAGACAGAUGGAAAUGGGACAACAGAAGCCGAGGUCAGAUGAUGCGAUGUGGCCGCGAGCCAAGGAAUGCGGGCGGCCUCUCGAAGCUGGAAAAUGAAGGAAAUGGAUUCUCCCCUGGAGCCUCAGGAAGGAGCACAGCCUUGCCUACACCUUGGCUUUAGUCCCCUGAGACCCCCUUCAGGCUUCUUACUCCCAGAAGCGUAAGAUCAUAAGUGUGUGCUGUUUUAAGCCUCUAAGCUUGUAAUUCAUUGCAGCCGUGACGGGAACCCGUGACAGCUUCCUCCUGGACCAGUUAGUUGCCAAGGGUCAGUUCAAAGCUGGGGCCGAGUGGCUCGGAGUUUGCAGUCCCAUUAAUGCUGUUGGCUUUUCUGGCUCAAGUCUGGCCCGUGGAGUCCCUGUCUUUAUAGGCAAUUGGAUUUGCUUAUUUGCUAUAUUUGCUUAAUUUUCCUGAAAGGUUCACCUUCACCAGGGCUCCAUACUUGACUUUGCCCAAAUAUGACAGUGGUUUGAUGGGCUGUAGUGAAACCUCAUUAAAGUCAGUAAGGAUCCUUUCCCUCUCAAAUCCACCCUCCAAAGAUGUGGUCGAGCGGGUCCACAACCCCCUUGUGUGGUCGCAGCC